UUUUUUCAGUUAUGGUCUUAGACGUGAGUCAGACAAUAUUAUCUAUUGAGUUUCACCCACUUCUCUGCUCCUGUGCUUUUAAAGACUGUCCUUAUUUUUCUAGGCUGAUGUGGUCAUCAAGUUCCCUGAGGAAGAAGCUCCCUCGACUGUCUUGUCCCAGAACCUUUUCACUCCAAAACAGGAAAUUCAGUGGAUCCGGAUUGGUGCCAAUGUCUCCAACUUCACUUUCACUCCUAGCACGAUUAUAUUUCACCUGGGACAUGCUGCUAUGCUGGGGCUCAUGUAUGUCUACUGGACUCAGCUCAACAUGUUCCAGACCUUGAAGUACCUGGCCAUCUUGGGCAGUGUGACGUUUCUGGCUGGCAAUCGGAUGCUGGCCCAGCAGGCAGUCAAGAGAACAGCACAUUAGUUCCAGAGGAUGGAAAUUCUGAAAACUGAAUGUCAAGAAAAGGAGUUAAGAACAAUUCACAGUGUGAAAAGAAAAAUGGAAAAAAAAAACUUUAUUUA
rnacentral:sRNA from 1 species